rnacentral:lncRNA from 1 species
UAUUAGUUAGGCACAGUCGGUUGGCCCAGGGAAAAUUUCAUAAUCCUUAGACGUGCCUUGCACCUUCACAAGCGCCUUAACCGCUUUCUUCUCUGCACUGGUGAAUUCCACAUCCAAGUCCGAAUUUUUAUCUUUAGUUGCAAGUUCGAUGGAGCUCUCCUUUGUCAGCGCAAGUUCAGGAGAAUCAGAGACUAUAAUGGUAUGGUU